rnacentral:rRNA from 1 species
GAUGAACGCUAGCUACAGGCUUAACACAUGCAAGUCGAGGGGCAUCAUGAUCUUAGCUUGCUAAGAUUGAUGGCGACCGGCGCACGGGUGAGUAACGCGUAUCCAACCUUCCCUAUAGUAGAGAAUAGCCCGGCGAAAGUCGAAUUAAUGCUCUAUGUUCUUCAUAGAUGGCAUCUGACGUGAAGCAAAGAUUGAUCGGUAUAGGAUGGGGAUGCGUCUGAUUAGGUUGUUGGCGGGGUAACGGCCCACCAAGCCAUCGAUCAGUAGGGGUUCUGAGAGGAAGGUCCCCCACAUUGGUACUGAGACACGGACCAAACUCC